rnacentral:rRNA from 1 species
GACGAACGCUGGCGGCGUGCUUAACACAUGCAAGUCGAGCGGUAAGGCCCUUUCGGGGUACGACGAGCGGCGAACGGGUGAGUAACACGUGGGUGACCUGCCCUCAGCUCUGGGAUAAGCCUGGGAAACCGGGUCUAAUACUGGAUAUGACUCCAUGACGCAUGUUGUGGGGUGGAAAGCCUUGUGCGGCUGAGGAUGGGCCCGCGGCCUAUCAGCUUGUUGGUGGGGUGAGGCCUACCAAGGCGACGACGGGUAGCCGGCCUGAGAGGGCGACCGGCCACACUGGGACUGAGACACGGCCCAGACUCCUACGGGAGGCAGCGAGUGGGGAAUCUUGCGCAAUGGGCGAAAGCCUGACGCAGCGACGCC